rnacentral:rRNA from 1 species
AUUGAACGCUGGCGGCAUGCCUUACACAUGCAAGUCGAACGGCAGCACGGGAGCAAUCCUGGUGGCGAGUGGCGAACGGGUGAGUAAUAUAUCGGAACGUGCCCAGUAGUGGGGGAUAACUGCUCGAAAGAGCAGCUAAUACCGCAUACGACCUGAGGGUGAAAGGGGGGGAUCGCAAGACCUCUCGCUAUUGGAGCGGCCGAUAUCAGAUUAGCUAGUUGGUGGGGUAAAGGCCUACCAAGGCAACGAUCUGUAGUUGGUCUGAGAGGACGACCAGCCACACUGGGACUGAGACACGGCCCAGACUCCUACGGGAGGCAGCAGUGGGGAAUUUUGGACAAUGGGCGAAAGCCUGAUCCAGCCAUACCGCGUGCGGGAAGAAGGCUCGG